rnacentral:rRNA from 1 species
UACGGAGGGGGCUAGCGUUGUUCGGAAUUACUGGGCGUAAAGCGUAUGCAGGCGGACUUUUAAGUCGGGGGUGAAAUCCCGAGGCUCAACCUCGGAACUGCCUUCGAUACUGGAAGUCUUGAGUCCGGGAGAGGUGAGUGGAACUGCGAGUGUAGAGGUGAAAUUCGUAGAUAUUCGCAAGAACACCAGUGGCGAAGGCGGACUCACUGGCCCGGUACGUGGACUGCUGAGGUGCGGAAAGCGAUG